CUGCCCCCUUCUGUUUGCCUCUUUGCCCUCAAUCUGAGGGGAUAGGAUCCAAGCUCUACCCAUGGCUCCCAUUUUCUGCCACUCCUGCUCUGACCAGUCAGUGUGCAUAAGGAAAAAGGGUGAACGAAUGAAAAAAACCCAAACAAACAGGGUUCUCUUAGCAAGAGAAGAAGAGGGAGCCACUGGGUCACCAACCGUCUUGCUCUAUGGAAAGAGCCUGGGUAGUGUCAGCAGUGCUAGUGAAGGAAGAGGUCAAAUUUAUCUGAAGUCACCAGAUUGGAUUGAUUACCAGGUGGCAGAAGCAAAAGGCAACGGUUCUGUGCUUCCGGUUGCUUCCCCGUGGAGUCUUAGCAUCCGGCAGAGUAUGGGAAUGUAAGCAUCUCACUUCCAGUGUGUUUGGCAGCCUACAGCUUCCAGAAAGUCUGAGUAGCACUUUAAAAAACAUGAGAAAGUGAGAAGAUGUGGACAGGAGUGUCGCCCAAGGGCUGUGCUGAGGAGAGGGAUCUCAAGCCCUUAGGAUUGUGGGUGUGAAUCCAAGGAGGUGGAGUCUGAAGUCCAAGGAGGACUGUAGGAGAU
rnacentral:lncRNA from 1 species